rnacentral:rRNA from 1 species
ACUCCUACGGAAGGCAGCAGUGAGGAAUAUUGGGCAAUGGGGGGCAACCCUGAUCUAGCCAUGCCGCGUGAGUGAUGAAGGCCUUAGGGUUGUAAAGCUCUUUCAGCUGGGAAGAUAAUGACGGUACCAGCAGAAGAAGCCCCGGCUAACUCCGUGCCAGCAGCCGCGGUAAU